CUAUGGUGAGGCACUAGCCGUGGAUGUGGACUUGCAGGCGCUCCUUCUAGCCGACGACAACGAAUUAUUAAGUGUCCAGCACACCGUGCUAUCCAUCAUCAGCAUCCGACCGUGAGGCGGAGUAUGAGACCCCGUUUGCAAGAAAAUAGCCAUGGUGCGUGUUCUUAUUUCCUCUCCUUGCUUCCUCCUACUCGGGAUUGUUCAGUAUGCAAUUAGCUCCUUGACUGUAGGGCUAGGCUAGGUUAUCGUCUGUAUUAACCCUGUUCUAUUUUGCAGUUGAGAAUCAGAUGGUGAUGCUUUGGAACAUUUAGACCACGGCAGGAGCCUUUAUACACUUAUAAGGCUGAAGAAUAUACCAAUCCAAGUGUUAGCUUUGCAAGGGGUUCCUGUUCUGCGAAAUAAAGGAUAAGAAUGCCAUCUGCCAUACAUUAAAAAGUUUCUACAAGGAGAUAGUGUGCAGUUAUUUUGUUCCAGUGAAUCUUUCUUAUGCUAGAGUAUGUAUGUGAAUUUUGUUUACAGUUUAUGGAUGAGAAUGGGAAAGUAAACGGUUACUGCUUUGAAAUUAGGAGGGACCGAGGAGGAGUAGCCUAAUUAACAAGUGCCAGUACAAUUUUAGGUUCUGUAGUGUGCGAAUGUUGAUAGCUUCUAGGUACGGCUAGCUGGCUGUAAGGACGGUCCUGGUAUGCAAUGAUCUGGUGAUUUGUUAAUCCUAUUUACCCGGACUAUCUGAUUUUGUAUCUUCCUUAUCAGUUAUCUGAAUUUGUAGUGAGCAAGUCGCCGUCUGUACACAAGAUUCAGCCAUCGUCUGCGUCGUAGGGUUGUCACACACUAAUAUUUUGGCUGGCUGGAUAUGGAGAUUUAUUUGGAUAAUUUGUAUUAUUGUUGUUGCUUAUUUAAAAUUUGAUUGUUCUUUGACUUUUUUUGAGCAGUUAUACCAACACCUUGAGGCAGCAUUAGUCUGCUAUUAACUCUCCCACUCUCAUUUUGUUUGUGCAGACCUUUGUUUAGUCAUGUCGACAAGAUAGUUGAUGAAAAUUCAAACAAGCUGCAAGUGAGGUGGACCGGUGUAAUCUUUAUAAUGUAGUCAAAGAAUAAGCCCAUCUCCCUCAUGUUGUUUCUAAUUCUACAUAUGUUAUUUUGGAGUUAUUAAUUUGUUUUUUACGCUCUGAUUUAAGGACUUCUCUUUACCAUGUAUGAAAGCUAAAAAUAUUUUGGUAGUGUAAUUUCUUUAAUCAUACAUUUAUUGUACAUAAAAUGUUAGAGAUGUCCUCCUAGCAUGAUUUAUUUUUGAAGUUGUCUUAUACACAGGAAGGUAGUACA
rnacentral:lncRNA from 1 species